AUUGAACGCUGGCGGCAUGCUUUACACAUGCAAGUCGAACGGUAACAGGGAGCUUGCUCCGCUGACGAGUGGCGAACGGGUGAGUAAUGCGUCGGAACGUGCCGAGUAGUGGGGAUAACGCAUCGAAAGGUGUGCUAAUACCGCAUACGUACUGAGGUAGAAAGUGGGGGACCUUCGGGCCUCACGCUAUUCGAGCGGCCGACGUCUGAUUAGCUAGUUGGUGAGGUAAAGGCUCACCAAGGCGACGAUCAGUAGCGGGUCUGAGAGGAUGAUCCGCCACACUGGGACUGAGACACGGCCCAGACUCCUACGGGAGGCAGCAGUGGGGAAUUUUGGACAAUGGGCGCAAGCCUGAUCCAGCCAUGCCACGUGUCUGAAGAAGGCCUUCGGGUUGUAAAGGACUUUUGUCCGGGAGCAUAUGCCUGGUGUUAAUAGCACUGGGAGCUGAGAGUACCGGAAGAAUAAGCACCGGCUAACUACGUGCCAGCCGCCGCAGUAAUAC
rnacentral:rRNA from 1 species